AGAGUUUGAUUCUGGCUCAGAACGAACGCUGGCGGCGUGGAUAAGACAUGCAAGUCGAACGAGAGAAUUGCUAGCUUGCUAAUAAUUCUCUAGUGGCGCACGGGUGAGUAACACGUGAGUAACCUGCCCCCGAGAGCGGGAUAGCCCUGGGAAACUGGGAUUAAUACCGCAUAGUAUCGAAAGAUUAAAGCAGCAAUGCGCUUGGGGAUGGGCUCGCGGCCUAUUAGUUAGUUGGUGAGGUAACGGCUCACCAAGGCGAUGACGGGUAGCCGGUCUGAGAGGAUGUCCGGCCACACUGGAACUGAGACACGGUCCAGACACCUACGGGUGGCAGCAGUCGAGAAUCAUUCACAAUGGGGGAAACCCUGAUGGUGCGACGCCGCGUGGGGGAAUGAAGGUCUUCGGAUUGUAAACCCCUGUCAUGUGGGAGCAAAUUAAAAAGAUAGUACCACAAGAGGAAGAGACGGCUAACUCUGUGCCAGCAGCCGCGGUAAUACAGAGGUCUCAAGCGUUGUUCGGAAUCACUGGGCGUAAAGCGUGCGUAGGCUGUUUCGUAAGUCGUGUGUGAAAGGCGCGGGCUCAACCCGCGGACGGCACAUGAUACUGCGAGACUAGAGUAAUGGAGGGGGAACCGGAAUUCUCGGUGUAGCAGUGAAAUGCGUAGAUAUCGAGAGGAACACUCGUGGCGAAGGCGGGUUCCUGGACAUUAACUGACGCUGAGGCACGAAGGCCAGGGGAGCGAAAGGGAUUAGAUACCCCUGUAGUCCUGGCAGUAAACGGUGCACGCUUGGUGUGCGGGGAAUCGACCCCCUGCGUGCCGGAGCUAACGCGUUAAGCGUGCCGCCUGGGGAGUACGGUCGCAAGAUUAAAACUCAAAGGAAUUGACGGGGACCCGCACAAGCGGUGGAGUAUGUGGUUUAAUUCGAUGCAACGCGAAGAACCUUACCUGGGCUUGACAUGUAAUGAACAACAUGUGAAAGCAUGCGACUCUUCGGAGGCGUUACACAGGUGCUGCAUGGCCGUCGUCAGCUCGUGUCGUGAGAUGUUUGGUUAAGUCCAGCAACGAGCGCAACCCCUGUUGCCAGUUACCAGCACGUGAAGGUGGGGACUCUGGCGAGACUGCCCAGAUCAACUGGGAGGAAGGUGGGGACGACGUCAGGUCAGUAUGGCCCUUAUGCCCAGGGCUGCACACGUACUACAAUGCCCAGUACAGAGGGGGCCGAAGCCGCGAGGCGGAGGAAAUCCUAAAAACUGGGCCCAGUUCGGACUGUAGGCUGCAACCCGCCUACACGAAGCCGGAAUCGCUAGUAAUGGCGCAUCAGCUACGGCGCCGUGAAUACGUUCCCGGGUCUUGUACACACCGCCCGUCACAUCAUGGAAGCCGGUCGCACCCGAAGUAUCUGAAGCCAACCGCAAGGAGGCAGGGUCCUAAGGUGAGACUGGUAACUGGGAUGAAGUCGUAACAAGGUAGCCGUAGGGGAACCUGCGG
rnacentral:rRNA from 1 species